UCCAUGAAGCUGGAUUCGCUAGUAAUCGCGCAUCAGCCACGGCGCGGUGAAUACGUUCCCGGGCCUUGUACACACCGCCCGUCAAGCCAUGGGAGCCGGGAGUGCCUGAAGUACGUGACCGCAAGGAGCGUCCUAGGGUAAGACCGGUGACUGGGGCUAAGUCGUAACAAGGUACC
rnacentral:rRNA from 1 species